ACAGUCGGCUCAGCAAUGAUAUCAUGCCAUUUGUUGACAGGCAGCUGUGCGGUUAUGAUCACAGCCUGUUCAGCCAUUGAGCGGCGAAAAUGAGCAAAUCUGGGGAGCCCAUGCCCUCCUAAUAGCAGAAGGCAAUACAGUCGAAGUGCGAUAACGCGAGCACAAGACUGUCCCCACGACGUCAGAGAACC
rfam:Prosthecochloris sp. CIB 2401, complete genome.